CGCCAGCCAAGGUAAGGGGAAGGAGAACUCUCCAGCCGGAAGCCUUGUGCUGGCUGGGCGAGGAAUCUGGAGCGGCGAGGUUGCCUGUGUGUCUGGCGGCUUGGGAAGGAGGGUGGCCUCGAUACAGUGGGCAAGCAUGGAAAAGAUGGGGAAACUGAGGCCCAGAGAGACAAGAGACCUGAGAGUCCCCGCUGAGACCUGAAGCCUGGCCUCAUUCCCAGGCCAGCCGGUGCCUCGGGACUUUCCAACCCGCUGGCUCUCCCUCCACAGCCCCCCACCCCCCACAUCACCACGGCUCUCUGCACCUCAAAGGCUCAUGGGGCCCAGAAGUUCUACCAAUACCCUCAAACCUCUUCUUCCACAGCCAGAGCCCGCCAGGGGGCUCCCCAUCCCCAAGCUGCCCGCUCUCCCUCUACCUUCCAUGUGGACUCCGGGAUCCUCCGGGAGAAACUGAAGCAGCCCUUCUUAAGCCAGGUGUCCGAGUCCCGGGACGGGACCCUCCGCUCCCGCCGUCUCUUGGCGACGCCGGGCACUGGAGCACACAGUUUGGGCCACCGGCAACCCCGAGCCUCCCUGCGGUUGGGGCCACCGCUCCAGGAUGCCAAGGAUCCUGCGCUCUGCCCCGCCCCCGCCGGGCCCCGCCCCCGCGCUUGGUCCCGCCCACCUGUAGGGCAGCCACGCCCCCUGUGUCUCAUCCCACUGGGUCUGCCUCCCUGGCUGCCACACCUCCGCUGAGAUUGGCUGGGCUGCCUGCAGGGCUGGACCACCCUGGCUGCUUGACUCAGGCCCUGUGUAUCCUGGCUUCUGGGUCGCCUUUCAACCGGAGGGAACCAGAGAAUGCCCCUCCUAACACGCCCCCCCCACACACGCGCGCGCGCGCGCACACAGUGACAUCCUGUGGAAUGAGAGCCGGGAAACGCAGCGGCAGAAUACACCGCGCGCUUGGAGAGGGGUCCGUGAGUCCACAGCCGUCUAAAGCCUUAAUAUUGUGGGGUCCGAGAGCAGCGCUUUGGGGGUGUGAUGGGUUACACGUCAGGUGUGUCUUUAUUUUUCCAUGUUUCUUUCGAUUCUGCUUUCCGAGUUGAGGCUCUCAGUCUCCUACCCAUGGGGCUGGAACACUUCCUGCCGGUGACUUCUUACUGUCCCAAGCAAGUGACGCUAGUUUUCCAUUCAAGGCAUUAAUAAAAAUGUUCCAUUUAAAAA